GGAUGCAGUGGGGACAGAGCGUCCUUCCUGCCACGCAGAAGGACGGAGCCUGCGCAUCCGUGAAAUGGUGCUGGGCAAGGGGGGAAGCAGAAAGCCUGCACUGAAGCUGAUGCCAGUGGCCUUCCUCUGAGGCGCAGCCUUGC